GAGGUGUCACGGUGGAAUUAGUAUAGGGUUAGCGAUGGGAAGGUGAAGAUGAGGACAGCGAAGGGUUCUGCUAUGGAUUUGAGGUGUCAUGGAGGGGCAGCGAAGGUGGUUUGAGGUGUUAUGGAGGUCUGGCGAUGGUUCUGCUAUGAGUUCUGCGAUGGGUUUGCAGGUCUGGCGAAGGUGGAAGGAGAAGAAGGUGUCUGGUUCUGGUGUGAGGUUGUGGCUAUAGAUGGCUGCAGGAAGAAGAAGAAGAAGGUCAUCUGAUUUUGGUGUACAGGCUUGACAGCAACGGUGAGUAGAAGAAGGUAAUGGACUGGGUUUUCUUUGGGUGUUUGGGUUUUGGUGAUCAGGCCCGCUCUGAUACCAUGAAGAAUUGGGGAAAUUGUGACUUGUAGGCCUUCCUUUAUUUAUAGUAAAAACAAUAAUCCUAAAUCCUAACAUGAGUAGUAGUCCUAAUCCUACCAUGAAUCUGAGUGGUCGUAAUUACAUUAUUCAGCUGAAAUUAAUUCUUUCAUUAUUCAUCCCAGACAAGUUUAUUAUCCUAUGAAUGUUCUGUUCAAAAGAAAAGCUUUCCAAGUUUCAGGUUUUCCCUUUUUUUUAUGGGAAUUUCUCAAAUCAUUGGAUGGCAAACGAGGCCUACGAGGCUAUCUAUAUUCAAGUACCUCAAUCUGGGAUUAGUGUUUUUUGUGGAUUCCUUAAUGACUGCAGAGUUACAGAGACGAUGAAGAUCUCUGAAUACUUGAAUAACUCUCACUAUGAAAUAUACAGUUCUAUUCGGUCAAAGGGUCAGUCGGAGCAUUUCCUAUUUUCCCUAUAUUUCACGGUUGCAUAGCGACCAUAGCUUCAGAGACGGUGGCAGUGACAAUUGGUGUGAAGUUUGUGAUGGUUUCUCAAAGGGAGGAGGUCCAAAACUGAAUUUUGAUUCUGCUCUGCAAAAGGAUCCUCCUGCGACCCUCCCCUACAUGUCCAUUGUAGGAAUUCAUGACAAUGACGAAAAUGGUUCUCAGGAAGAUUCUUCCCCUCAGCAGAAAAAUUUCAAUGAUGUUAGGUUGGAUGCUGAUAGAAUUCUGAAAAUUCUCCACCAAGAUGAGCCGGAUUUUGAUGUUAGAUCGGCUCUUGACGAGUUGCAACUCAGGGUGUCAACAUUCCUUGUCAGAGAAGUUCUUAAAAGAAUGUUGAAAAUUGUAAACCGUACAAAUAAGAAUCGAUGUGCAAAGUUGAGUUACAAGUUCUUCAUUUGGGCCAGUCUGCAAAGUAAUUACAGCCACACCACGAACACCUACCACUUACUUAUGAGUAUCUUUGCAAGUUGCCAGGAGUGGAAGGCAAUGGGGAGAUUAGUUGAUCAGAUGACCGAAGAUGGGUUGCCAACUACUGCCAGAACAUUUAACAUCCUAAUAUGUACUUUCAGUGAGGCAGGUAUGAGAAGGAGAUUAGUGGAGAGAUUCAUUAAAUCAAAGACAUUUAGAUAUAGGCCGUUCAAGAACUCCUACAAUGCAAUUCUACAUUCUCUACUGGCCGUAAACCAAUACAAUUUGAUUGAGUGGUUGUACCGGCAAAUGCUUGUUGAUAAGCAUUCUCCUGAUGUUCUAACUUACAACAUACUUUUAUGUGCUAAGUAUAGACUGGGCAAGUUUAAUGAGUUCCAGACGGUGCUUGACGAUAUGUUUAGAAGUGGAAUUUCCCCAGAUUUCCACACAUAUAACAUUUUACUCAAUGUGCUUGGGAAAGAUAACAAUCCUUGUGCAGCUCUUGAGUUAUUAAAUCACAUGAAAGAAGUUGGUUGUGAGCCAAACAUUCUCCAUUUCACCACAUUGAUGGAUGGGUUGAGUCGGGCUGGAAAUUUGGUUGCCUGCCGUUAUUUUUUUGAUGAGAUGGUUAGGAAAGGGUACAUGCCAGAUGUGGUGUGUUACACAGUCAUGAUCACGGGAUACAUUGUUGCCGGGGAGCUUGAGAAUGCUCAGAAAAUGUUUGAUGAGAUGAUUGUCAAAGGGCAGUUACCGAAUGUCUUUACAUAUAAUUCCAUGUUACGUGGUCUUUGCAUGGCCCAGAAGUUUGAUGAGGCACAUGCAAUGCUGCGUGAAAUGGAAUCUAGAGGUUGCAAUCCAAAUUUCAUUGUUUACAGAACUCUAGUUGCUUAUCUGCGGAAUGCUGGGAAGCUGGAUGAAGCUUAUAAAGUGAUAGAGCAAAUGGUACAAAAGGGGCACUAUGUCCAUCUUCGUUCGAAACUUGAUGGAUAUGUUAAAGAGUUCAGAUGGAGGAUAGUGUACAAGUAGAAGAUUCUUUUUUCAUGAUCUCAGAAGGAGACACUUAUUUUUGUUACCCUGGUUCUUUUGUGACCUUUGCUGGCUGGUGCUCAUUCCAGACUUCUCAGAAGUUCAACAUUAUGGCUAUUACGAUGAUCAUUUCUCUGUAAAGCUGAAGGAGUUGACGUUUGAUCCAAUUGACUCUUUGCGGCGUGAAGUCCAAGAGGUCUCUUCAACUAUUCUUUUUUUCUUUUCAAAGUUAAUUGCAAGGUUCUUCAAAUCAGGUAAGAGAUCUGAAACUGUGAUUGAAUUCUGGUUUUGGAAAUCUCCAGAUUUCUCCUUACUGCCCCUACUCUGUUCUGGAAGAUCCAACCAGCCGAUGGCCCUCCCCUUUUGAUCGAUUGUUGGGUUUAUUAAGAGGGAGGUCGACCUUAAUUUGGGACCAAUCAUACUGGGGGAUUUUGAGUUAUGAAGUUUCUCCCUAUUCUGGCCGAUUUUUUUUGGUUUAUUUUUGCUGCCCAGAAUUUUGGGUUGGUUUGUCCAGAUUGUUGCUGAUUAGUUACUGAUUUGAUUCUCCAUUAUUUUAGUAUCAUUAGUGGGUGAUUUAUGUCCUUAAUCCACUGGUUAUUACUCAGUUAUAGAACUGCUGAAUUGUUGAAAUGAUUGAGUUGUUAGCUUCCCUAUUGAACUCGAUAGCUUGCUGGACUGUUAUAUACUACUCUGAUUUUUCUGUUAUGAUGUUGGGGCUGGUUUAUGGUUGUUCUUUGGUUUAAAAGUUCUUGCUGUUUGUGUCUAGUUUGAGUUUCAGAUCUAGUCCUACAUUACAACAUCAAAGGAGAUAGAUUUCCAAAUCUUAUCUAGGGAUCUAGAUUUGGCAGUCUAUCUUCGAAUGUUGCGCUCUAUCCAGAUAUGGUUAAUAGUAGCACAAAAGGCCAAUUUACCAGCAGUGUCACAAUUGGUCGAACCAAAGAAGGACAUGUCUAGCCAAAUAUAUUCUCUGUCAAAAGGGAGGAUUGAUCUUCUAGAAGGCCAGCAUUUGGAAAGGACAGAUUUCUAGACAUGGCAGGAAAAGGGGCAAGAGAAGAAGAGAUGGGGGAUAUCCUCUGUACGUGAGGGGCAUAAGCAGCAGGAAGGAUUGGUAGAGAUAUGGCGGUGAAUGAGGAAGGAUUGGGUGGGAAGACAGCUGGACAGGCAGCACCAGAGAGUGAAGCUCUGGCGGGGAAUAUGACCUUUAAACCAGACUAGUUUAUGCAGGGAACUAUCGGGGAAGGGAAACCGACAAAGGAUCAAGCGGAGGCAGAGGAGAAUAUCCCAUUGGUAGAGGGGAGCCAAAUACAAUGGUCGUCUCUUCCUCUAUGACCAGGGGGAAGAGGGGGAAGGGAGGACCAGAGGUCAAGCAGAGAAGGGUGGGAGGAGGGAGGUGACCAACCAUUGAGAGAAAGGAUAGAGGAGACCCAACCAUUUGAAUCUUGAAACUGCAUAAAUUGGAACUUGAGAUGAAGCUGACUUCCUGUUGUGGUUAUCGAUCAUGCUAGGAUAGAGGGCAAAUUCUAUUGAUCAUCCCAACACCAAAUCCUCAAAGCAUACUGCUACCAAGGUGAAGCAGUUACAUUUGCAAAUGGUGAAUGAAGCAUUCUAUUGUAAUCUAUCAAAAAGGGAGAGGGGUUGGUUGGAAUAAAAUGAAGAGCAUUCUGUUGUAUCCCAACCAUUUAAGAGGAAAAACUUAUUGCCAUGAUUCAUCCACAGGAGGUGGUAUCAGAUUCUCCAGUGGGGCUAAAAUCUGCAGUAUACUGAUUGUGUAAUCCACUUCAAACUUUAUCCAAGGACAGUGCCAGAUAUUCCCAUCUUAUGCAGAAGAGCCAUUCAUGACUUCAUUUUUCCUUCUGCAGGAGCGCCACAGGACUUCUCCAGGGAUGGCUGCAGCAUUACAGGCUGCAAUUAAUACCCCACAGUCAGAGAAACUAAAACAAGCACUGAAUAUGACACCUCGACUUCUUGACAUGUAUUUUUCUAUAGCACUACGAGAUGUAAAUAAUUCACUUAUUUGUCCAUUAAUCCCGCUACUUAUGUCAAGAAUUUCUACAUUAUUUCCAGACAAGGUUUUCGCAUAUGAGGUCCAGAGGAGGCUGUUAGAAUUCAUGCGAGCUGCAUUUCAACGAUCUCCAGAUUUCAUUGCACGGCUGAAGUGUUAAUAUAUCUAAAAUCCUUUGCACAAGCCCAACAUUGACAGACUUGGAGAAGCUUAUGACAGCCCUGCAAAGAUGGAGUUGACGUUACAGUUGUGUUGGGCUAUUGGGGAACAUGGAGGUGGAGGUGGAUCUCACAAAGAAGAUGUAGCUCGAGAGCUCUUUGAGAGCCUAGAAUUGCUUUUUUAUGAAAAUCUUUCGUCUAGGUUGGUGCUGUACUAGAACAUGCCAUCUGUAUUAUAGAAUGUACUUGUAGUCAAGGAUUAAAGUAUCGGUAUCGGUCGCCGUAUCGGUCGGCCAAAAUUAAGAUACGUAUCGGAGAGUAUCGUAUCGUAUCGGAGAUACACUAAGAUACGCUAAAGAUACACA